GGAAAUGUGGCUUAGUGGUAGAGUGCUUGCCUAGAACACAUGAAGCCCUGGGUUCAAUUCCUCAGUACCA
rnacentral:tRNA from 1 species